GGCCCUGGGCGGACGGACGGGCGCGUGGACCAAUGGGAGGCAGGGACCCUGCGGGGGGCGGUGCCUCGAGCACCUUCCUCCUCUCGGUUGGUUUCUCCGGGGUAACUGUUCGAGGGCCGCGCGCGCGUUCCCGAGGGGGCGCGAUCCGGAGACCUCUAAGCUCCUAGCAAAGUAGGAGGACUUCGGAGGCGUACAACUCCGAGAAACAGUCAAGGAUUCCUUAACGCGGCCCUUCCCUCGGCGCUCUCCCGGAAUUGGCUUGGGGAAGGGUGGCUUGGAGGUCAGAGUUGCGCGUUCGCGUGAGGACACGCGGUGCGCAGGCGCGAGCGGGUGUCGGCGGGUACCGGUCUCGGAACCCCAGGAGGCAAGAGAAGCUACUGGGCUUUGGGUCCAUCCUGAACGACCCUUGGAAGAAGGGAGAGGAUGGAGGAGAGAUUUAAGAGCUGGAUACAAGGUGACUCAGUGUCCACAUCCAAGGCAGGAACUCUCUGCACCUCCUUCUGGAUUGUUGUCAUCCUUAUCACCAUUAUUGCCAUCAUCAUCAUCAGGGAACUUCUCCGAACUGGGACCCGUGCUACCCAACCACCCGCAGUGACUCAAAAACCUUAAGGCUGAGAACUGGCAAUCUCGUUUAAACCUUAAGGCUGAGAACUGGCACUCUCGUGUGUGUGUGUGUGUGUGUGUGUGUGUGUGUGUGUGUGUAUGAUGCUGGGGACAGAGUCAGGGCUCUUGCACGUGCUAGGUAAGGCACUCCCACUGAGGUACACCCCAAGCUGUCUCUGUUUCAAUAAGCCUUCCAGUCAUUGCAAUACAAGCUCAAGAGCCACUGCCUGAUGCGUUGCAUUGAAUAAGCAAUCAGGACAUAAUUAUUUUGUGUGGGUAAGAUUCCCUGCUGAGAAGAGCUAUUGGAAAAUGGGAUUGAAAAAGACACAAUGUUUGCCUUCAAGGAGUUUACAUUAUAAUAUGUAAAUAAAACUUUUAUUCAUAUAGGCAUAAUGAAAAGCAGUGUUAUUAAAUAUUUGCAAGUAAAGUAUGCGUGAUGUCUUACAUUCACAACAGAAAUAAAAUGAAAAUAAAUGAAGUAAGAAUCCU
rnacentral:lncRNA from 1 species